rnacentral:rRNA from 1 species
GUGGGGAAUUUUGGACAAUGGGCGAAAGCCUGAUCCAGCCAUGCCGCGUGCAGGAUGAAGGCCUUCGGGUUGUAAACUGCUUUUGUACGGAACGAAAAGACUCCUUCUAAUAAAGGGGGUCCAUGACGGUACCGUAAGAAUAAGCACCGGCUAACUACGUGCCAGCAGCCGCGGUAAUACGUAGGGUGCAAGCGUUAAUCGGAAUUACUGGGCGUAAAGCGUGCGCAGGCGGUUAUAUAAGACAGAUGUGAAAUCCCCGGGCUCAACCUGGGAACUGCAUUUGUGACUGUAUAGCUAGAGUACGGUAGAGGGGGAUGGAAUUCCGCGUGUAGCAGUGAAAUGCGUAGAUAUGCGGAGGAACACCGAUGGCGAAGGCAAUCCCCUGGACCUGUACUGACGCUCAUGCACGAAAGCGUGGGGAGCAAACAGGAUUAGAUACCCGAGUAGUCC